UACGGAGGGUGCGAGCGUUGUCCGGAAUCAUUGGGCGUAAAGGGCGCGUAGGUGGCCCGGUCAGUUCGUGGUGAAAGCGCGGGGCUCAACCCUGCGUCGGCCAUGAAUACUGCCGCGGCUGGAGCACUGUAGAGGCAGGCGGAAUUCCGGGUGUAGGCGGUGGAAUGCGUAGAGAUCCGGAAGAACACCGGUGGCGAAGGCGGC
rnacentral:rRNA from 1 species